rnacentral:rRNA from 1 species
UACGUAGGGUGCGAGCGUUGUCCGGAAUUAUUGGGCGUAAAGGGCUCGUAGGCGGUCUGUCGCGUCCGUUGUGAAAACUCGAGGCUCAACCUCGGGCUUGCAGUGGAUACGGGCAGACUAGAGUGCGGUAGGGGAGACUGGAAUUCCUGGUGUAGCGGUGGAAUGCGCAGAUAUCAGGAGGAACACCGAUGGCGAAGGCAGGUCUCUGGGCCGCAACUGACGCUGAGGAGCGAAAGCAUGGGGAGCGAACAGG